rnacentral:rRNA from 1 species
UACGAAGGGGGCUAGCGUUGCUCGGAAUCACUGGGCGUAAAGCGCACGUAGGCGGCUUCUUAAGUCAGGGGUGAAAUCCUGGAGCUCAACUCCAGAACUGCCUUUGAUACUGAGAAGCUUGAGUCCGGGAGAGGUGAGUGGAACUGCGAGUGUAGAGGUGAAAUUCGUAGAUAUUCGCAAGAACACCAGUGGCGAAGGCGGCUCUCUGGCCCGGUACUGACGCUGAGGUGCGAAAGCGUGGGGAGCAAACAGG